rnacentral:rRNA from 1 species
UACGAAGGGGGCUAGCGUUGCUCGGAGUUACUGGGCGUAAAGCGCGCGCAGGCGGCGGUGUUGGCCCGGCGUGAAAGCCCCCGGCUCAACCGGGGAGGGUCGUCGGGGACCGCACCGCUUGAGGGCGGUAGGGGCUGGUGGAAUGCCUGGUGUAGUGGUGAAAUGCGUAGAGAUCAGGCGGAACACCCGUAGCGAAGGCGGCCAGCUGGGCCGUCCCUGACGCUGAGGCGCGAAGGCGUGGGGAGCGAACGGG